rnacentral:rRNA from 1 species
AGAGUUUGAUCAUGGCUCAAAUUGAACGCUGGCGGCAGGCUUAACACAUGCAAGUCGAGCGGUAGCAGGCCUUCGGGUGCUGACGAGCGGCGGACGGGUGAGGAAUGCAUAGGAAUCUGCCUAUUAGUGGGGGAUAACACGGGGAAACUCGUGCUAAUACCGCAUACGUCCUACGGGAGAAAGCGGGGGAUCUUCGGACCUCGCGCUAAUAGAUGAGCCUAUGCCGGAUUAGCUAGUUGGUAGGGUAAAGGCCUACCAAGGCGACGAUCCGUAGCUGGUCUGAGAGGAUGAUCAGCCACACUGGGACUGAGACACGGCCCAGACUCCUACGGGAGGCAGCAGUGGGGAAUAUUGGACAAUGGGCGCAAGCCUGAUCAAGCCAUGCCGCGUGUGUGAAGAAGGCCUUCGGGUUGUAAAGCACUUUAAGUGGGGAGGAAGGUUAGUGGUUUAAUACGCUACGAAAUUGACGUUACCCACAGAAUAAGCACCGGCUAACUCUGUGCCAGCAGCCGCGGUAAUACAGAGGGUGCAAGCGUUAAUCGGAAUUACUGGGCGUAAAGCGCGCGUAGGUGGUUUUGUAAGUUGAAUGUGAAAUCCCCGGGCUUAACCUGGGAAUGGCAUCCAAAACUGCACGACUAGAGUAUGGGAGAGGGAGGUAGAAUUCCAGGUGUAGCGGUGAAAUGCGUAGAGAUCUGGAGGAAUACCGGUGGCGAAGGCGGCCUCCUAGCCUAAUACUGACACUGAGGUGCGAAAGCGUGGGUAGCAAACAGGAUUAGAUACCCUGGUAGUCCACGCCGUAAACGAUGAGAACUAGCCGUUGGUCUCCUUGAGAGGUUAGUGGCGCAGCUAACGCGAUAAGUUCUCCGCCUGGGGAGUACGGCCGCAAGGUUAAAACUCAAAUGAAUUGACGGGGGCCCGCACAAGCGGUGGAGCAUGUGGUUUAAUUCGACGCAACGCGAAGAACCUUACCUGGUCUUGACAUCCACGGAAUCCUGCAGAGAUGUGGGGGUGCCUUCGGGAACCGUGAGACAGGUGCUGCAUGGCUGUCGUCAGCUCGUGUUGUGAAAUGUUGGGUUAAGUCCCGUAACGAGCGCAACCCUUGUCCUUAGUUGCCAGCGAGUAAUGUCGGGAACUCUAAGGAGACUGCCGGUGACAAACCGGAGGAAGGUGGGGACGACGUCAAGUCAUCAUGGCCCUUACGACCAGGGCUACACACGUGCUACAAUGGCCGGUACAGAGGGUUGCCAAGCCGCGAGGUGGAGCCAAUCCCGAAAAGCCGGUCGUAGUCCGGACUGCAGUCUGCAACUCGACUGCAUGAAGUCGGAAUCGCUAGUAAUCGCAGAUCAGAAUGCUGCGGUGAAUACGUUCCCGGGCCUUGUACACACCGCCCGUCACACCAUGGGAGUGGGUUGCACCAGAAGUAGUUAGCUUAACCGCAAGGGGAGCGAUUACCACGGUGUGAUUCAUGACUGGGGUGAAGUCGUAACAAGGUA